CCUACGGGUGGCAGCAGUCGAGAAUCAUUCACAAUGGGGGAAACCCUGAUGGUGCGACGCCGCGUGGGGGAAUGAAGGUCUUCGGAUUGUAAACCCCUGUCAUGUGGGAGCAAAUUAAAAAGAUAGUACCACACGAGGACGAGACGGCUAACUCUGUGCCAGCAGCCGCGGUAAUACAGAGGUAUCAAGCGUUGUUAGGAUUCACUGGGCGUAAAGGGUGCGUAGGCUGUUUGGUAAGUCGUGUGUGAAAGGCGCGGGCUCAACCCGCGGACGGCACAUGAUACUGCGGGACUAGAGUAAUGGUGGGGGAGCCGGAAUUCGCGGUGUAGCAGUGAAAUGCGUAGAUAU
rnacentral:rRNA from 1 species